rnacentral:rRNA from 1 species
UGGGGAAUUUUGGACAAUGGGCGAAAGCCUGAUCCAGCAAUGCCGCGUGUGUGAAGAAGGCCUUCGGGUUGUAAAGCACUUUUGUCCGGAAAGAAAUCCUUGGCUCUAAUACAGUCGGGGGAUGACGGUACCGGAAGAAUAAGCACCGGCUAACUACGUGCCAGCAGCCGCGGUAAUACGUAGGGUGCAAGCGUUAAUCGGAAUUACUGGGCGUAAAGCGUGCGCAGGCGGUUUGCUAAGACCGAUGUGAAAUCCCCGGGCUCAACCUGGGAACUGCAUUGGUGACUGGCAGGCUAGAGUAUGGCAGAGGGGGGUAGAAUUCCACGUGUAGCAGUGAAAUGCGUAGAGAUGUGGAGGAAUACCGAUGGCGAAGGCAGCCCCCUGGGCCAAUACUGACGCUCAUGCACGAAAGCGUGGGGAGCAAACAGGAUUAGAUACCCCGGUAGUCCACGCCCUAAACGAUGUCAACUAGUUGUUGGGGAUUCAUUUCCUUAGUAACGCAGCUAACGCGCGAAGUUGACCGCCUGGGGAGUACGGUCGCAAGAUUAAAACUCAAAGGAAUUGACGGGGUCAUAGCUGUUUCCU